rnacentral:misc_RNA from 1 species
AGAAAGUGAAAAAGAUGGAGAAGUUGGGGUCAGGGGACAUUCUCUAUGAAGUUCAUGAAGCAGCAGAAGAGUUGCAAAAAAAGGUGGAUCGGAAGUCUUAUCUUUUCGUCAAUGCUGAAAACUGGGAAAUAGGAACACGAGCCACAGCGGUGGAUAUUUCCCAGGAGCUUGGAAGCAUGGAUGAGGACAAAAGCUUACUUCAACAUCACAGGUCUCAAAGUGAAACAGUCAUCAACAUAGACUCCAUCCUUGCCUCAAAAAGUUGGGAUAAUAGGACGUGUAACCUGGCUAGUAAUAACAACCAAACUACAGGAGUAACCCCAGAAAACUCGGUUGGGAAACCAAAAUUCCGAACAACACAUUCUCUGCCUAAAGAUAAUG